CUGCCGCAAGACUCUCUUUCACCUAUUUCUUGCAGGUUGAAGCCAGGUGAUUGGAUCCUUGUUCGAGUACUCCAAAGGAAAAAUUGGAGCUCACCACGGUGGGAGGGGCCAUUUCAAGUGCUUCUGACCACUCCAACUAAUGGACACGCUAAUGUAGAUGAUGGUGGUGGUGGGUCUGGGUGUGAACCACGACUGUUGCACCCUUUUUCAGAGCCAUGAUCAGAUCUUCCUGGAUGAAAAUCUAUUUCAUGCUCAGCUAACAGCGUUUGUGCGUCCCUGUAUGCAUUGUCAAGUUUAAUUUUCCUAUGUCUUAGCCACAUGGGAGAUCAUUCAAAAUGAGGUUUUGAUGUAAUGCUGGCUGUUUCUCCUAUAGUUGGUGCGGAAAAGUUAACGGAGGGGUCUAAAAGAGAGUUAUGUGGGUCUGUUAAUGGAGGUCUUUGUUCAGUACAUGCUUGUUUUGUAGUUUCAUCAUCAGGGGUUAUUAAAGCUGCUGCUAAUUGUUUUUUCUUUUCCUCUUUUUUUAUUUUAUUUUCAGUUCUCCUUUCAGUUUCACUUUUCCAUGCUUGGAAAAACCUAUACUCUUCCUUACGUUUUAAUUUCUUUUUUGGGUCUUUUGUUAAUGUAAUCUCUUGUUUUAGGACAGCUCCCAGCUGGGUAACAGCUGAGGGGCUGCAUUUCCCUUUCCAGUUACAGCUUUUUGUUUUUCGUGGAUUUCUCCACCUAUUUGCGCUUAUCUGUCCGGCGCUUGGACAUGUCUUUUCUAGCCACUGCUCGUCAGCAGUGAGUUUAAUGGGCUGAUUCCCCAUUUUCACAGAACUGCAAAGCAUUCUCUGGCACGCUCGACUCAGGAAUGGUUUACUGAUACGGCCUUCGACUUCACCCUAACGGUGAAGCGGUAUCAGUUUUAUGAGAUGAAACUCAACCUUUUUCCUUUGUCACCAUGACAUGGGCUCUUGCAGGAUACACAAAAAUGGAAGUAGUUCAGCAAUUUAUUGUGCUGUAAAAUCAACUUACUUCCAGACACACACACAUAUAUGGACAUUUGCGCGCUUUUACAAUUUGUCACGAAGUAAUUUCAGCUACUUCUAAAACUGGUUGAAACACAGUUCCUUUUGGCGAACUUAAACCUAAUUUGUCACGAGAUAAUUUCAGCUACUUCUAAAACUGGUUGAAACACAGUUCCUUUUGGCGAACUUAAACCUAAUUUGUCACGAGAUAAUUUCAGCUACCUCUAAAACUGGUCGAAACA
ensembl:lncRNA